UGUCUAGAUACAGCUGCCCAGAGCUCCGUGCUCUGGGUGUCUCCUCAGACUGGGGGAGGGGUUGGCACCUGCCCCCCCAGUACCUCCUGGGGCUGCUGAUAAGAGUUGGGCUUUGCCUAUCAGCCUGGUAUUCUACCUCUGGCUGCUCACAGGCUAAGAACAGAGAUGGGGCGCUCCUGCCACCCCACCCCAAGCCCCUGUGUGACCCACAGCUCAGAGAGCCCUGGAUGCCACCUGCUGGCCUCUACCUGGUGAUGGGGUAUUUUUAAAGCAACUUAAAAAAUUGAGAAUAGAGAUUCUGUUCUAAAUUAUAGAUAUAAAUAGUCCUGCUAGAAUCUGGGUGUUGUAGCUUAAGCCUAUAAUCUCAGUACUCAGGAAGCUGAGGCAGGAGGAUUACCUUGAGUUUGGAGCCAGCCUCUGUUUCACAGACCCCGUCUCAAAGGGAAUGUAAGUAAAUAAAUGAAUACAUGUUACUUGCAGUACAGAUAAACAUCCUCUGGUAGAGAGUCAGUGGGAUGUGCACGCACAUCUGUGUGCGCACACAAGAUACUGCCUGUUUCCUUAGUUAAAUUUUUGAGACAGGGCUUCACUCUGUAUCCCAGGUUAUGGCCUGGAACUUGAGAUCCUCCUGCUUCAGCUUCCUACCACACAGGAUGCAGGAUUCGCAUUUGGGGCCAGGCUCUGUGCGGAGACAAAGGGGCAUGUAACAGUAAGGCACAAAGCUUGGGGGAGUUCCUUAUAUAACAACCGAAACAUAGCUGAGGGGCAGAAAAGCACCUCCUGGAAUGAGGAAACUGCACACAAGAGUAUUUCAGAACCCCACCUUGGAGGGCUGGGGAUGUACCUCAGUGUUGGAGUGGGCACGGACAAAGUCCAGGAUUCCAUCUCCAGCAAAAGACACAUACACACACACACACACACACCAGCUUGGAUGGCCCUUCCUGCAACCAGGUUUGCAUAGCUGUGCAAGGAAGGCGGUCAUACCCUGUCUCUUACAGCCAAGCCGACGACCUGUGUGUGAGGCAGGGGGCUGCCUCAGUGCAGCACUGGACCCCCCUUACCACUGACUGCAGAUGAUGAGCCCCAGAACACCCCGGGGUUCUGUGAGAGGCCUCCACACUAGCCAUCAGGAGCAGAGGGCAGCGGACACCACCUCAGUACAGAGUGUGCCAGUGUGUUCCAGGUCCCCAUCAAACCCGCCAUUUCUGCCUGGACAUGAGCCGUGUUUUCGGCCCUCGUCGAGAGUGGCCACGGAAGUCCCCCGAAGCAAGAACAUCUGCCCUGGAAUUCCCGCAUGAAGACCCGAGCCUUCACAAGCCGAGGGAAGGGAGAUGCAGCUCAGCUGUGGCCCACGGAGCCAGAGUGUGAGCCGAGCUGACUCUGCUCCUGGGGGUGUCCCGAGAGAGGUGCUGAUGGUCAGCCUUUUAUCACAGCACCAGAGAUCAAACUGAGACAGAGCAUCGCCUCUGGUGCAGAUCAAGGUCAGCCGAUUCCUGGGAGAGGUUCCUGCCCGUGAUCCUCUGUGGUCUCUCGACCCGACAUGUGCAGUGCAGACCAUACCAGCGCCUCCUUCACAGUCCUGCUGGGACUCCUAGGCCCGGCAGGCUUCCUGACCCCUGGAGUGCAGACAACGUUUGUACUGUGGCUAGGACCACAGGACACGCCUGCGUGGUGCAUCCAGCUGUCGUGGAUCUCAGCAGUGCUUACAGUGUCAUGUCUGCGACAGAGCGUGUGGGCACACAGGAGCAGGGGACAUGGGCACUGGGCUGUGCUGACUUCCUUCUCACCCCGUUCAAGUUGAACAUGACCCUGGGCCUUGGAAACCUUGUGGUGUUAUUUUCCAGGCCACAAACAUAUUUGAUGGGGUUCAUGGGGUGCCCCUCCCCUCACUCGCCCACCCAGGCCUGCUGCUCCCGGCCCAGGACACCUGUGCCCACACCAAGGGCUGGCCUGCAGGUGCCCAAGGAGCGCUGGCCUGCUUUGUGACCAGCUCCUAACCCUCCCAUACCCUGCUCACUGAUCCUUUCAGUGCCAUUUUUCCCUACCCCGAGGGCAUACCGGCUGUGCCCACUGUGGGCAGGAAUGCAUCCGGGGCCUCACACUAGACACAGGUGCUGUCAGUUCCAGGCUGCUAUGCACUGGAGAUCCAUUGCAUUCAAAAUUUGCCUACAGCUGAGUGAACGGGUCCUAGUGGGGAGACUGAGCGUGUCACUCCUGGAACCACGAAUUAAUUUUAGUCCCAUAGAUGCCACGGUGAGGUGGGCCUCUCCUAGCAGCACCCCCACCUCUGCCUCAGGACGUUUGCGCCCACCGUUCUCAUUUCCGACUUGUUCUUUCUUCCGGCCUACCUUCUGUUGACUGGCAUCUCUUACUUCCUCUUUCAUUCUGGCCAUAUCCAGGCUUCCAUGCCCUUCCCCUACCCGAUAGCUCACUGCUCAGCAAGU